rnacentral:rRNA from 1 species
AUACGGGGGAUUCAAGCGUUAUCCGGACUUAUUGGGUUUAAAGGGUGCGUAGGCGGGAGAUUAAGUCGGUGGUGAAAUUUUGCAGCUCAACUGUAAAAGUGCCAUUGAUACUGGUUUCCUUGAGUGUGGAUGAAGUAGGCGGAAUUUGUGGUGUAGCGGUGAAAUGCAUAGAUAUCACGAGGAACUCCGAUUGCGCAGGCAGCUUACUAAACCAUAACUGACGCUCAGGCACGAAGGCGUGGGGAUCAAACAGGAUUAGAUACCCUGGUAGUCCACGCAGUAAACGAUGAUUACUCGCUGUUUGCGAUACACAGCAAGCGGCUUAGCGAAAGCGUUAAGUAAUCCACCUGGGGAGUACGUUCGCAAGAUUAAAACUUAAAGGAAUUGACGGGG